AAAGCAUGGUAAGGGAAAUUCCUAAGAAUUUUUUUAAAUCUCUCCCAACUCUCAUAAAUUAUUUCUACAUCAAACUGUGUAAAACAAGUGAAAUCAUUUAUAUGUUU